rnacentral:rRNA from 1 species
UACAGAGGUCCCAAGCGUUGUUCGGAUUCACUGGGCGUAAAGGGUGCGUAGGCGGUCGGGUAAGUCUGACGUGAAAUCUCCAAGCUCAACUUGGAAAUGGCGUCGGAUACUAUUCGGCUUGAGGAAUGGAGGGGAGACUGGAAUUCUCGGUGUAGCAGUGAAAUGCGUAGAUAUCAGGAGGAACACCGGUGGCGAAGGCGGGUCUCUGGGCCGAUACUGACGCUGAGGAGCGAAAGCGUGGGGAGCGAACAGG